AGCGAAGCUGCUUAGAUAAUGUAGAAUUAUGCUUUGAAAUACAGAAAUGCCCCACCAUGGACGGUGGGGCAAGGCGUUAUGCGCCAUGGACGGCGCAUAAAAGCCGGUUUCGUCCAGCUACAAGAAACUAUAAGCAUAAUUCGUACAGUAUCUUAGCAGCGCAGC
rnacentral:ncRNA from 1 species